UGGGGAAUAUUGCACAAUGGGCGGAAGCCUGAUGCAGCAACGCCGCGUGAGUGAUGAAGGCCUUCGGGUUGUAAAGCUCUGUCUUUUGGGACGAUAAUGACGGUACCAAAGGAGGAAGCCACGGCUAACUACGUGCCAGCAGCCGCGGUAAUACGUAGGUGGCAAGCGUUGUCCGGAUUUACUGGGCGUAAAGGAUGCGUAGGCGGAUUUUUAAGUGAGAUGUGAAAACCCUAAGCUUAACUUGGGGACUGCAUUUCAUACUGGAAAUCUAGAGUGCGGGAGAGGAGAAUGGAAUUCCUAGUGUAGCGGUGAAAUGCGUAGAGAUUAGGAAGAACACCAGUGGCGAAGGCGAUUCUCUGGACCGUAACUGACGCUGAGGCAUGAAAGCGUGGGUAGCAAACAGGAUUAGAUACCCUGGUAGUCCACGCCGUAAACGAUGAGUACUAGGUGUAGGAGGUAUCGACCCCUUCUGUGCCGCAGUUAACACAAUAAGUACUCCGCCUGGGAAGUACGAUCGCAAGAUUAAAACUCAAAUGAAUUGACGGGGUCAUAGCUGUUUUCCU
rnacentral:rRNA from 1 species